rnacentral:rRNA from 1 species
UACGUAGGGUGCGAGCGUUGUCCGGAAUUAUUGGGCGUAAAGCGCUUGUAGGCGGCUUGUCGCGUCUGCUGUGAAAUCCCGGGGCUUAACCCCGGGCUUGCAGUGGGUACGGGCAGGCUAGAGUUCGGUAGGGGAGACUGGAAUUCCUGGAGUAGCGGUGAAAUGCGCAGAUAUCAGGAGGAACACCGGUGGCGAAGGCGGGUCUCUGGGCCGAUACUGACGCUGAGGAGCGAAAGCGUGGGGAGCGAACAGG